rnacentral:rRNA from 1 species
UACGGGGGGGUAAGCGUUGUUCGGAAUUACUGGGCGUAAAGGGCUCGUAGGCGGCCAACUAAGUCAGACGUGAAAUCCCUCAGCUUAACUGGGGAACUGCGUCUGAUACUGGAUGGCUUGGAUUCGGGAGAGGAAUGCGGAAUUCCAGGUGUAGCGGUGAAAUGCGUAGAUAUCUGGAGGAACACCGGUGGCGAAGGCGGCAUUCUGGACCGACACUGACGCUGAUGAGCGAAAGCCAGGGGAGCAAACGGG